ACGCCCAGGAGUACCCGGGAGAGGACUGUGCAGGCUGUCCGACCGUCGCCCCCAGCGCCCCCCUCUGCUGAGCAGGCCCAGAAAACAAGGAAGGAAGUGGCUGACCACCCGGCUGCUGUGAAAGAUGAACAAGCUGGGAUCUGAGUGGAACACAUUAUUGGAGAAGACUACCUCGUGGAGGCCGUGGAGAUCCUGGAGCUGUACUGUGACCUGCUGCUGGCUCGGUUUAGCUUGAUCCAGGCCACAAAGGACACAGGUUCAAGCCCUGGUCUGGAAAGAUCCCA